GGCAGGAAGGGCCCAGAGAGAUCUGGCUCCCCAACCCAAGGGUAAAGCUGUCUCCCUCCCCCAGACUCAGAAAGGGGUUGUCUCACCUUUCCAGAGGACAGUGAGACUGUGGGAAAAAGGGCUGCAUAGGAAAGCCACUUGAGGGUCAUGAGAAGGGCUCUAAGAGGAUAACAUGGAAGUCAACCAUCUACUCUGUAGGGACCAGGCUUUCAGUAAUAUGGGAUGGGAGCUUCCUGGAGACCCAAGGAAGCAGUGCCAGGGGGUCCUCAAACUCCCAGGUGAGAAGAGGAACCAACUUCUUUCCUGCGGGGGGGAGGGGGGCUAAGGAGUUAACACCCUGCCUCCUCCACCCUAGGCACCCUUGGGGGGGUGUGGUUCUUCCCUCCCCCUGCAGCUGGUCCUUUCUCCCCAUCUCUUGCCCUGGGAAGGCGGGGCCGAGUCCCCUGGGAGCCUCAGCCCUGACAGCUGAGGUCUCUCUCCUCCCCUGGGCAGACGUCCCCUGCAGGCUAGGUUCUCAGCCUCCUGAAAGGAGCUGGCGGGCCUUGGACCCACUUCCACCUGCUGCCAGAGGGCGAAGGACAGGACUUCGAGUUUCAGCCCUCACCUCACAAGGUAGUUACUCUGCUGCCCUGAAGGCCGACUGAGAACAAACAGCAAGUGUGCAUCCCAUCAGGUUCCCUCCCCAGGGACGCUGAGGUGUGCAGCGCAUGUCAACCAGGUGGCCACUAGCCACUCCAGAGCUCCCUGAUAACCAGGCCAGGUAUGGAAUGCACGUGCUCUGGGUCACACACAGGUGUGUCGAGGAAGGACACAGCACGCCAAGGUUCAAAUCAAAAAAUGCCCCUUCCCUUAAGUGUGACAUUGAACAAGUUAUUUUACUUCACUGGAGGUCAGUUUCUCUAAUGGGGAAAACAAUGCCCACCUUGAGCAGAGGGGAAGAAAUAAACAUAUAGAGUAUCUAGCACAGUGGCUGACGCACAGGUGAUCAUGUAUUCAGUCAACAAACAAUGCGUACACACCUACUGUGCGCUGGGCAACAUGAAGAUGCCAAGGUAAGUGAAUCGCAGUUUAGCAAAGACCACACUGGGUCUAGGCAUGGGUCCUGGUCACCCUGGGGUGUAGGCAUUUUGUUUGGCUGGUAGUGUUUUGUUUUGUUUCUUUGCUUUUUAAUGCCUUUAAGGAACAUAAGCAGGCUUCUCUAUGGUCCUCAUCCACGGCUUCACUCAUUUCCGGCCCCUGAAAGAACUGGGUUUGCUGCCCCAGGAGCGAAUGUGAACUCAGAGGGGCGACACCAAACUGCAAGUCCUCCCUAUUCCAGGAACGCCACCCAGCCGGGACUUGGAUACCUCCAGAAACAGAAAGCUCAUUACAUUUAAGGCACCAAACAUCUUGUAGUGCUCAGAGGGGCAAGCCUGGAGGUGGUCAGGGAGGGACACUUCAGGGAGGAGCAGAGGUGGGAGGUAACAAAGGCAGGGCGUUCCUGGAAGAGGAGGCGCAGGAGCAGAGGGUCACAGAGGGAAAGGCGAGGCCCACUGGGAGCUGAUGGAGACAGAGGCAUCUCAAGGGGUCCUUCCUAGUGCUGGAUUUCCGCCAGGCUGUAGCGCCUCCCGCUCCUCCAGACCGUUUCCCAGGUGGGUCCUACUGGUGGAGCUAUGACGUACGACCACGGCCCCUCGCCUCACGAGCAGCAUCUGCCGCCCCAGCCUCGUCACUGGGUCUCUUCCCUGGCCCCACGCAGCCCACCCUCACCAGAGUGGAAAAGGACUCUGGCUGGAACCGAAAGGAGCCCUGCACUCCCUUGCUCUCGCUGAGCCACGGAGGGAACGUGGAAGUAUCUUCUAACUAGAGUCGGCAGAAGAGCUGACCCCACAGGGCCCACUUCCAGGGAGGCCUCUGGCCCCAGAUGACGCCUGCCCCACCACAAACAAUCUAAUAACCCUUCACAGCACAUUUUCAACCCCCUCCCCACAUGUUAUUCUACUCUGGGUGGUAAAGCCGGACAGGGGUUGCUCUGGUUCUUUACAGAUGUAGAAAGUAAGUCUUGGGAGGGACCGAGCUCCCUGUCUCUGGGAGUAUUCUGGAAGAGGGUAAGCGAAAGAGGAAGACAUUCACUCUUUCCUCUUUUCCUAGUUCCUGACCCUCAGCCUUGGCCCAUCUGUUUGUGUUGAGAAGUGGGGCGGGGUGGGUGGUGGCUUGUGUGACCAGGACAGGGGCCGAGGAGAAAGGCAGCAAUUUCAAGUCACUUCUGCCUUCUCCUGGCAGCAGCCACUGAUAGGGGAGGGAGGGGAGCAGCAUCGUUGCUCUUUUAGGAAAACGGUAAUUUUAAUUAAGAGGCAGACAAACGAGCGCUCUGCAGAUUGUCUCCGAGCAAAGUUAUUAAAAAGCCAUCAAGGCGGCGGCAGCCACAGAGGCAAGGAGGGCCACCUGCCCCAUCUGCCCGCCCGGACUGGGGCCGAAGCAUCCUUCAGAGAGUGGAGAAGGGCUGGAGGACACGGAAUCUGCAAACAGCCAAGACAGGGACUCUGCAACCCCUCUUCAAGUCCCCAGGCUGCAUGGAUUGGGACGUCCAGUCACUGCCUGCUUGGCGGGAGCACGCUAUGAGAGGAGUGCCAUUGGGAUGCUCAACAGAGACAUGCAGUGAGGAGCAGCCGCCAGCAGGGGGAGCAGGGGCGGAUGGGCAUCGGUGGACAGAGGGUCACUGCCCUUUCGAGUCAGCUGGCCAGGCCACAGCCUCAGGCC